rnacentral:rRNA from 1 species
GACAGAGGUGGCAAGCGUUAUCCGGAUUCACUGGGUUUAAAGGGUGCGUAGGUGGAUUAGUAAGUCAGUGGUGAAAUCUCCGGGCUUAACCCGGAAACUGCCAUUGAUACUAUUAGUCUUGAAUACCGUGGAGGUCAGCGGAAUAUGUCAUGUAGCGGUGAAAUGCUUAGAUAUGACAUAGAACACCAAUUGCGAAGGCAGCUGGCUACACGAGCAUUGACACUCAGGCACGAAAGCGUGGGGAUCAAACAGG